UCUCAUAGAUUUUGUACUAUGUUUUAGUUGCUUUGGGUGGGAGCAUAAAUCCAGUCCCUGUUAUUAUAUCUUGCCUGGAAGUGGAAGGCACUCAGCGCUGUUUCAUUUUCAGCAAUAGUGCCAUUAAACUGUGAGGCUAGCAGUUCUAGAGGAGACUGAGGUGCCUUAUGGGGUUUGCUGGACAAAGACGGGUCAGUUUAUAUGAAAAAGUGUGCUUCUCUGCGCCCACAGCUGCAUAUCUGAUAUCCCUGGGUGCACAUUUGUCUGCAAAUGUCUGUCUGCAGGUCUGUCUGCACAUGUGUCUGCAUGUCUGAGUGCAGUCUACUGGAGUAUGGGAAGCUGUCUGUUGCUGCACUGGGAACAGGGUCCAUUCUUCUGUCUGCUCAGUGGGAAGUCCAGGAUGCUUAUAUAGUCAUUCUGCCAAAUUUCUAGAUGUCCCAUGCUAGAGUCCACUAGGCCUGAGUUGGCCUGUGGACAGGCUGCUGAUGAGUCAAGCAGAGAUUUGCCUCUCGUAGUUCUGGUUUGGACAAGGUGGGAGCAGACAGGCUUGUCUGUUUUGAGUCAGCUGGGGCUGAUUCUGGGGUCUGCCACUCCUUUCCCUUCUACAGCAGUCCCACAGGCCCCAGGCUGACCCUUCAGUGGUUCUUGGUUUGAGUGCUGGUCUCCUUGGUCAUAGGAAGGAUCUGGUUGUUGCUAUCAGCCCAGCCCAGGUCUUGGAAAGUAAGACCUAGUUCUGCACAGUGGAUUUUCCCAUGGGCCUCCAGGAGAGCCAAUGCCAAAAUAAUGCUUUCAGGAGGUCCAGAUUUUACCAGAACUUGCUUCUUCCUUUCAUCUGUGCCAGGGAGUGGGCACGUGUUGACACUGUCCAGGCCAUCUCCAUAGCAUCCAGUUCAUUCUGAGCUCUUUUUUUUUAAAGGAUGGACAAUAGCACAUAAAGCUAUCUAUAUAAUAGGCACCAAAUUUACCAUGACAGUUGGAAUAGAAGGAAGGUGCAUUUUUAAAAUGAAAUUAAAUUUAGUUCAAGGUCCCGCUUGUCAAGAUGGAUAAUCAGCCCAAGAAUUCUAGAAUUUAUGCAGUCC